rnacentral:rRNA from 1 species
GGUGGAUCCGCNAGUCGGUCCGCGGAAUUCAGCGCGGCGCGCGGUCCGGGGCGGCUGCGGUUCGGGAUCCCUGGGAACCGACCGUGGUGCCGAGCCGGUCUCCGCCGCGUGCACUUUCCGCGGGCAGAGAGCCACAACCGGUUUGGUGUGCGGUGACAUGCCGGGAGGGUUGUAGGUGCGGGCGCUUGCGUCCCUGCCAGCCUUCCCCGGCGAGCCGCCGCCAGACCGAGGAACCGCCGCGUGCUUCGAGGCCACCCUCCCCUCCGGGUGAGUUCGACUGGGAGAGACUGGGCAACCGUGUCUCCCGACCGCUCACCAUGGAUCGGUGCGGGGCUGGUCGGGCACGCUAUAUUCUAGGGUUGGUGGCAAGUCUGUCGGCAUUCCACCCGACCCGUCUUGAAACACGGACCAAGGAGUCUAACAUGCGCGCGAGUCAUUGGGUCGUACGAAACCCAAAGGCGCAGUGAAAGCGAGGGUCGUCUCCGCGCGGCCCAGGUGGGAUCCUCCCCUCCCUUCUCCGAGCAAUCGGUUUUGUUGGCGGGGUGGCGCACCACCGGCCCGUCCCGUCUGCGCUGUCAGUGGGGCGGAGCAAGAGCGUGCACGCUGGGACCCGAAAGAUGGUGAACUAUGCCUGAGUAGAACGAAGCCAGAGGAAACUCUGGUGGAGGUUCGUAGCGAUUCUGACGUGCAAAUCGAUCGUCAAACUUGGGUAUAGGGGCGAAAGACUAAUCGAACCAUCUAGUAGCUGGUUCCCUCCGAAGUUUCCCUCAG